rnacentral:rRNA from 1 species
AAGUGGUAGGGGAGCGUUCUGUAAGCCGAUGAAGGUGGAUUGAGAAGUCUGCUGGAGGUAUCAGAAGUGCGAAUGCUGACGUGAGUAACGACAAAGCGGGUGAAAAACCCGCUCGCUGAAAGACCAAGGGUUCCAGUCCAACGUUAAUCGGGGCUGGGUGAGUCGACCCCUAAGGCGAGGCCGAGAGGCGUAGUCGAUGGGAAAUUGGUUAAUAUUCCAAUACUUCUGUUUAAUGCGAUGAGAGGACGGAGAAGGUUAAGUCAGCCUGGCGUUGGUUGUCCAGGUGGAAGGUUGUAGGCAUGUAUCUUAGGCAAAUCCGGGGUACUCUAUGCUGAGAACUGAUAGCAAGCUGUACUUGUACAGUGAAGUGGCUGAUACCAUACUUCCAGGAAAAGUCUCUAAGCUUCAGUUAAACAGGAAUCGUACCCGAAACCGACACAGGUGGUCAGGUCGAGUAGACCAAAGCGCUUGAGAGAACUCUGCUGAAGGAACUAGGCAAAAUGGUACCGUAACUUCGGGAGAAGGUACGCUGCCGGCGGUGAUAGGACUUGCUCCUUGAGCUGUUGGCAGCCUCAGAAACCAGGCCCCUGCAACUGUUUAUUAAAAACAUAGCACUCUGCAAACACGAAAGUGGACGUAUAGGGUGUGAUGCCUGCCCGGUGCUGGAAGGUUAAUUGAUGUGGUUAGCGCAAGCGAAGCUAUUGAUCGAAGCCCCAGUAAACGGCGGCCGUAACUAUAACGGUCCUAAGGUAGCGAAAUUCCUUGUCGGGUAAGUUCCGACCUGCACGAAUGGCAUAAUGAUGGGGGCGCUGUCUCCAGCAGAGGCUCAGUGAAAUCGAAAUCGCCGUGAAGAUGCGGUGUACCCGCGGCUAGACGGAAAGACCCCGUGAACCUUUACUGCAGCUUGACAUUGAACUUUGAUCUUACUUGUGUAGGAUAGGUGGGAGGCUUUGAAGUGGCGACGCUAGUUGCCAUGGAGCCGUCCUUGAAAUACCACCCUGGUAAUAUUGAGGUUCUAACUCUGUCCCGUUAUCCGGGACGAGGACCAUGUCUGGUGGGUAGUUUGACUGGGGCGGUCUCCUCCUAAAGAGUAACGGAGGAGUACGAAGGUGCGCUCAGCGUGGUCGGAAAUCACGCGUAGAGUAUAAAGGCAAAAGCGCGCUUAACUGCGAGACCCACAAGUCGAGCAGGUACGAAAGUAGGUCUUAGUGAUCCGGUGGUUCUGUAUGGAAGGGCCAUCGCUCAACGGAUAAAAGGUACUCUGGGGAUAACAGGCUGAUACCGCCCAAGAGUUCAUAUCGACGGCGGUGUUUGGCACCUCGAUGUCGGCUCAUCUCAUCCUGGGGCUGAAGCAGGUCCCAAGGGUAUGGCUGUUCGCCAUUUAAAGAGGUACGCGAGCUGGGUUUAGAACGUCGUGAGACAGUUCGGUCCCUAUCUACCGUGGGCGCUGGAAAUUUGAGAGGAUCUGCUCCUAGUACGAGAGGACCAGAGUGGACGAACCUCUGGUGUACCGGUUGUGACGCCAGUCGCAUCGCCGGGUAGCUAUGUUCGGAAGGGAUAACCGCUGAAAGCAUCUAAGCGGGAAGCCUACCUCAAGAUAAGAUUUCCC